AUUACGACCAAAAUGUGUCGAUCCGACACACUGAAUGUGUAAACCGGGUUGUUUUUAAAUCGAUGUGUGGCUUUUACACAUCGCGAUGGUUUUUGAUCGAAAAUCCAUCCAAUGUGUAAAUUCCUUUUCGCCUGCUUCGCCAACGUUGCCGGUGGGCGUCGCCACAAGUCUUGGACUUGGAAGUGUAGCGAAGAGUGAAAAAAAAACACGUUGGUUUUUACUGUUUGCAUUUUUGCCUCGUCAUGAUUCUUCCGGCCAAGACAGUGUGACCUCCACCGAGUCGGAGCCCAUUUCACCUGCCCAUUUUUCCUCCAGCUCGACGUCACCAGCCGGACAUGAAUUCGACUGAACAGUCCGUUCGCCGCGGAAUCUGGACCGCGUUGCUUAGGGUUGUUCAACAGGAGCGCCCUUACGCGGGAAGCCGACCUGCUUUGGAUGUUGGACGGUACGGCUACGAACCAGAUCUGUAAGGCCGGCAGUUGCGGGUUGUGUUUCCAUACCCGCUCACUUCUGGCGUUUUGAAGGAGGAACUGGUUGAAGAGAUGUUUGCGAUCAGCUGAGCAAAAUUUGAUAUUUAAUAUCAAGAAGAUCCCAGCUUGGUCAGAAUCUGCCGCUGGGCUAAAUCUGUUCGCUGCUGAUAACAAUCAAACUGCUUACAAGCAGCGCAAUCCGGAUAAACAAUCCCACCAUGUCCGGGUGCUCCUUCUUUUUGGCCACUAGACCACAUUUUUUUCAGUACGUUAGGAACUCCUGGUUCCAACAGUGGACUUUUCCAGUGUCCAGUUUGAAUGCAGCUACUUCCCCUAUAGGCGCAGGUUCUCCGGUCCUGUUAAAGAGCAAACUGGGCGUGAAAAACAGUUGAGGCAAACCUCCUCUUCCGUUUGUCUCUCAUCAUCGUAGCAGCAGGAAAAAAUCACGACGCCAGCUGAAAAAAUCAAGCUCCCAGCUUUGAGCUUCGCCAAAAUGUCUGGCCACAAUCGGUCGGGACCGUCGAAUCAAAUCAGGCGUUAACCAAUCAACCGCAGCUCAUAAAGACCGUUCCGGAUAUGGUCCCCACAACAAGGACGGUGCCGGCUCAGCUCCGUCGUGUAGCUGCAACUAAAUCGGCGCUUCAAACCGAAAGCCGCAAGUAUUAACAACCCAGCACCAGGGGUACAGCGGCCGAAAGAUUGCACAACUUGUCGCCGAUAGGACCGAUCGGAGAGGGUGACGACAUUAGCGGGCUGCACAUCAAGGAUCGCGUCAACUUGUCGCCCACCAAAACCUCCAGUGCGCCUUCAAGAACAUCACAUCUAAUGUAGAAUCCGCUGGCCAUGGACAAGCUUUUCCGAGUUUCCCUGUUUGGACAACGUCCCGCGGACACGACGGAUGCAGAACAGCGCGAGAUGAACAUCUUUUGGCGAACCGCGCUGACGGGUUGCGAGAUCGUGAUCGAGAAGUGAUUCUGCAAAAGGCCGCUGAAGAAAGACGCUAUCCAACUGAAUGCGGCUAAGUUCCUCGGAACGCUUUCAGCCAUCGGGGACAAAACAACAAACGACCAGUCACAGACCAGUUGAUGGUCCAGGCCACUACAUUUACUUUUGAAGAUUAACAACGAUUAUGAAUUUAAGUGUAGUUGGAACAGUAGAAGAUUUAUUGUAUAUUAUGUAAUGUUGUGAAAUAAAAAAAAGCUGUAUUAUUUUAAAUUUGAAAGUAAUCAAUAAAAAUUAAAGAACUUUUUCUAUUCACUAACAGAUGGCAGCACAGUAUUCCCGCUAGUCGAUAGCUUCCCAUUUUUGCCACCAGGGGGCUACUGCCGAAUCAAAAUUUACACAUUGGAUGCGUUUCUGCCCAGAAUCCAGCCAAUGUGUUCCGGGCUGUUUACACGGCGCGAUGGUUCAAGCGUGGUCUUGUGCGAAAAUGGUUGGAUUCAACGCUUUUUGGUGUAAUUCUGAUCUU